CACGUAGGCACCAAGCGUUAUCCGGAUUUAUUGGGCGUAAAGAGCUCGUAGGCGGUUCGGUAAGUCGGGUGUGAAAACUCUGGGCUCAACCCAGAGAGGCCACCCGAUACGGCUGUGACUAGAGUGCGGUAGGGGAGCGGGGAAUUCCUGGUGUAGCGGUGAAAUGCGCAGAUAUCAGGAGGAACACCAGCGGCGAAGGCGCCGCUCUGGGCCGUAACUGACGCUGAGGAGCGAAAGCAUGGGUAGCAAACAGG
rnacentral:rRNA from 1 species